AUUGAACGCUGGCGGCAGGCCUAACACAUGCAAGUCGAACGAGUGGCGCACGGGUGAGUAAUGUCUGGGAACCUGCCUGAUGGUGGGGGAUAACUACUGGAAACGGUAGCCAUUACCGAAUAACAUCGGAUGCGCCGAGAUGGGAUUAGCUAGUAGGUGGGGGAAAGGCUCACCUAGGCGACGAUCCCGAGCUGGUCUGAGAGGAUGACCAGCCACCCUGGAACUGAGGAACGGUCCAGACUCCUACGGGAGGCAGCAGUGGGGAAUAUUGAACAAUGGGCGCAAGCCUGAUGCAGCCAUGCCGCGUGUAUGAAGAAGGCCUUCGGGUUGUAAAGUACUUUCAGCGGGGAGGCGUUACCCGCAGAAGAAGCACCGGCUAACUCCGUGCCAGCAGCCGCGGUAAUUC
rnacentral:rRNA from 1 species